rnacentral:rRNA from 1 species
GAUGAACGCUGGCGGCGUGCCUAACACUUGCAAGUCGAACGGAGUCCAGCCUUUAAGACCUUCGGGUCAAAGAGGGGAAGACUGAGUGGCGGACGGGUGAGUAACACGUGGGCAACCUGGCUCAUAGAGGGGGAUAACAGAGAGAAAUUUCUGCUAAUACCGCAUAAGCACACACUGCCGCAUGGCAGAGGGUGAAAAGAGAAUCGCUAUGAGAUGGACCCGCGUCUGAUUAGCCAGUUGGCAGGGUAAGAGCCUACCAAAGCGACGAUCAGUAGCCGAUCUGAGAGGAUGAACGGCCACAUUGGGACUGAGACACGGCCCAAACUCCUACGGGAGGCAGCAGUGGGGGAUAUUGCACAAUGGGGGGAACCCUGAUGCAGCGACGCCGCGUGAGUGAAGAAGUAUUUCGGUAUGUAAAGCUCUAUCAGCAGGGAAGAUAAUGAUAGUACCUGAAUAAGAAGCCCCGGCUAACUACGUG